rnacentral:rRNA from 1 species
UACGUAGGGUCCGAGCGUUAAUCGGAAUUACUGGGCGUAAAGCGUGCGCAGGCGGCUUCGCAAGUCAGGCGUGAAAUCCCCGGGCUUAACCUGGGAAUGGCGUCUGAAACUACGGAGCUGGAGUGUGGCAGAGGGAGGUAGAAUUCCACGUGUAGCGGUGAAAUGCGUAGAUAUGUGGAGGAAUACCGAUGGCGAAGGCAGCCUCCUGGGCCAACACUGACGCUCAUGCACGAAAGCGUGGGGAGCAAACAGG